rnacentral:lncRNA from 1 species
AACGCUCUUUUCUCUGUUCUUGUCAGAAUAGUAGCAGAAGUUCGAACCCAGUUUGUGAGGAGUGCUAUCACAAUGAGGGCUCACGCCGGCUGAGGAGUUGACCUGGGAGAACCAAGCGGCUAAAAACCUAGAGCAGAGAGAAAGGGGGCGCCCGCCGAGGCGACGUGGCCGCUGAUUGGACCGUUUGAAUGAGACGCCGCCACGACUUGGGGUGCGCGCGCGCGCUCCGGCCUGGAGAAAGACGCGCACGCGACUAACGGUUAGGCAGGGGAAGGGGCGGAGCGAGGGAAGACAGGACUGGAGGGGUUAAAGGGAUGACGGAAGGGGCCUUGACCAAUAAACAGGGGCGGUCGUGAUCUGGACUUGUGGGGCAGGUAGGAAUUGAAAGCUACUAAUGGGAAGCCAGCUCAGUGUGAUAGACUCCAACCUCGACCAAUGAAAUGUCUCAAUUUCUUUUGUGUAUGCAAAUGUUACGCUGGGAGUCUGGCGACCUCACCUGGAAGCCAUGGAAGGGCGGAAGUGUGGACAUAAUUUGUCUAUGGGGCUCCAUUUUGUUCUGCGCUCCUGUUAUGUGUUAGGAAGCCCUCAAAAUCAGGUUGGUUGACUCCGAGGGCUUGGACUUCCUGAUCCUCUAGAGUAUGACUUGUGACUUUUGCCACCAUUGUUUCUGUAGGGGUGCCAGAGGAAGAAGUCAGGGAAGUCUCACGUCCUUAUUGAGAGCUUUGUGACUGACCUCCAGACCCCAUAGACUUCUGUUAACUUUUUGAGAGACAGAAUUUCAUUACUGGCCUGGAACUCCUUUUUCCCCCGGGGUCGGGGGUUGUUGUUUUGGCUUUUCUUUUUUUAGAUUUAUUUAUUGUUUUAUGUAAGUACACUGUAGCUGUUUUCAGAUGGUUGUGAACCACCAUGUGGUUGCUGGGAUUUGAAUUCAGGGCCUUCGGAAGAGCAGUCGAUGAUCUUAACCGCUGAGCCAUCUCUUCAGCCCUUGUUUUGGCUUUUCAAGCCAGGGUUUUUCUGUGCAGGCCUGGCUGACCUUCCUGAAACUCGAGCUAUAGACCAGGCUGGCCUGAACUCACAGAGAUCACCUGCCUCUACUUCCUGAAUACUGAGAUUAAAAGUGUAUGCCACCAUACCCUGGCCUCGUUCCUUUUAUAUCCAUCCUCUAGCCUAUGGGAUAGUGCUGCCCACAUUUAGGUCAUCUCUUCCCUCACCCAUAAUUAACCUCCUGGUCCUGUCCUUACAUAUACUCCCAGAGGCUCUUACUAACCAUGAAGUGUUAAUCCAGUUAUGACAGCAUGGCAGAGAUCUAGAGAGAAUUAAACUAUCUGCAGUAAUCCCAUGCUGGGGAGAGAACAGACUGAAGCUUUGACUGCAGAGGAGUAGGACCUCAUCUCCCAGGAAGAGAUUUCACAGUUCUGACAACCUGUCUCAUAGCUAAAUCUGCAUAAGCACAUUUCUUGAGUCUUGUUUCAUGUUUUCUGUAAAAUUGUAGCUUUGCUAGAGGGAAAGCAGAAAGAAACAACCCUCUUCCCUGACAAGAUCUGGCUAUAGUUCUUAGGAAACUCAUUUUCUUCACCAAUUCUUUUUAUUUAUUUAUUUUUAUUUUAUUUUAUUUUAUUUAUUUAUUUAUUUAUUUAUUUUUUCCGAGACAGGGUUUCUCUGUGUAGCCCUGGCUGUCCUGGAACUCACUUUGUAGACCAGGCUGGCCUCGAACUCAGAAAUCUGCCUGCGUCUGCCUCCCAAGUGCUGGGAUUAAAGGCGUGCACCACCACGCCCGGCUCACCAAUUCUUUUUAAUUUAUUUAUUUUGAACAUAUAAAUGUUUUGCCUGUAUAUAUGUAGGUUCACAGUAUGUAUACCUGGUGCUCAGGGAGUUUAGAAGGGAGUAUCAGAUCCUCUGGAACUGGAAUAACUGGUGGUUUGAACCACCAUGAGGGUACUGGGAACUGAACUCAGGUCCUCUGUAAGAGCAACAAGUGCUCUUAACCACCAAGCUAUUUGUUCUAUUUGAGAACAGUAUCCAAGAAUGGAGUCAUGUCAGGAGGAUUUUGAGUGCUUGUGAGACAAGAGUCUUGUGACCUCUGUUUCGUCGAAACAUGGAAUUGUUCUUGGACUGUGUUUUGUACUCCUGUGCUCCUCCAAGAUGUAGCAGCUAGGAGUGGCUUUGCUUCAGAUUACCCCAAUUGCUUGCUGAUGUUAUUCAGCUAAAUGUUUAAACUGUACUUUACAUACCUCUAUGGAAAACAGGUUUUUGUUUCGUGUGGCUUGUUCUUGUGAUUGUAGACAGUCUGAAUUCAUGAAUCCUGUGGCCUUUCUUAACCCUCAGGGUAUUACAGAUCUCCAUUUCUCAACAUGUGGGCCUUGACCCCUUUGAGUCGGCGGUUGAAGAACCAUUUUACAGGGGUUGCCUAAGACCAUUGGAAACACAUAUACUUACAUUAUGAUUCAUAACAGUAACAAAACUACAGUUGUGAAGUAGCAAUGAAAAUAACUGUGGUUGGGGGUCAUCACAACCUGAGGAUCUGUGUUAAAGGGUUGCAGCAUUAGGAAGGUUGAGAACCACUGGUAUAAAUUUUCUGAGGCUAUGAAUAAAGUAGGCUAUUGCAUG